CCUACGGGAGGCAGCAGUGGGGAAUCUUGGACAAUGGGGGCAACCCUGAUCCAGCCAUGCCGCGUGAGUGAUGAAGGCCUUAGGGUCGUAAAGCUCUUUCGCCUGUGAAGAUAAUGACAGUACCUGGUAAAGAAACCCCGGCUAACUCCGUGCCAGCAGCCGCGGUAAUACGCUCGAGGGGUUAGCGUUGUUCGGAAUUACUGGGCGUAAAGCGCGCGUAGGCGGAUUGGAAAGUUGGGGGUGAAAUCCCGGGGCUCAACCCCGGAACUGCCUCCAAAACUAUCAGUCUAGAGUUCGAGAGAGGUGAGUGGAAUUCCGAGUGUAGAGGUGAAAUUCGUAGAUAUUCGGAGGAACACCAGUGGCGAAGGCGGCUCACUGGCUCGAUACUGACGCUGAGGUGCGAAAGUGUGGGGAGCAAACAGGAUUAGAUACCCUGGUAGUCCACACCGUAAACGAUGAAUGCCAGUCGUCGGCAAGCAUGCUUGUCGGUGUCACACCUAACGGAUUAAGCAUUCCGCCUGGGGAGUACGGUCGCAAGAUUAAAACUCAAAGGAAUUGACGG
rnacentral:rRNA from 1 species